UGUAGCUGGGGGGCGGAAGCGGCGGUAGUGAGGAGGGGGGCGUCGUUGUUCGGAAUUAUGGUGCGUAGAGGGCGCUGAGGCGGUGCGUUAAGUGACCGGUGAAAUCUCCGGGUGCAACGGUGAGCUUGCAGGCGAAACUGCCGUGCUGGAGUGUGGGAGAGGUGCGUGGAAUUCCCGGUGUAGCGGUGAAAUGCGUAGAGAUCGGGAGGAACACCUGUGGCGAAAGCGGCGCACUGGACCACAACUGACGCUGAGGCGCGAAAGCUAGGGGAGCAAACAGGAUUAGAUACCCCUGUAGUC
rnacentral:rRNA from 1 species